ACUCAAAGGAAUUGACGGGGGCCCGCACAAGCGGUGGAGCAUGUGGUUUAAUUCGACGCAACGCGAAGAACCUUACCUGGGUUAAAUCCCCCGGAAGACCGCAGAGAUGUGGUUGUGCCCUCUGGGAACCGGGGAGAAGGUGCUGCAUGGCUGUCGUCAGCUCGUGUCGUGAGAUGUUGGGUUAAGUCCCGCAACGAGCGCAACCCUUGUCGUUAGUUGCAACCAGGUGAAGCUGAGCACUCUAACGAGACUGCCGACGUGAAGUCGGAGGAAGGUGGGGAUGACGUCAAGUCCUCAUGGCCCUUAUGCCCAGGGCUACACACGUGCUACAAUGGCCGGCACAAAGGGUAGCGAAGCGGCGACGCGGAGCCAAUCCCCAAAAACCGGCCCCAGUUCGGAUUGCAGUCUGCAACUCGACUGCAUGAAGUCGGAAUCGCUAGUAAUCGCGGAUCAGCACGCCGCGGUGAAUACGUUCCCGGGCCUUGUACACACCGCCCGU
rnacentral:rRNA from 1 species